CACAUUGUGUUUUUUUACAGGAGCAGUACACGAGCUCCAAGAUGCCAAUAGGGGCUGGGGGAAGUGUCAUCCAGUCAGUCCCAAAGAAGUCUCCCUCAAUCUUCCAACCAUGGGCCAUUGGUGGGGAUCAGCAGAGACAACUUCUGAUGCUACCUGACCUGAUGUUAUAUGCUCUGAUCUCUGUCUUGUUGGCAUGCUCUGCCCAGCCAUGUCCUUGACCUCCAUUGUGAUGGCUGCUCUCUCGUGCUGUGGCAGUGUCCACCUGUGGACUGCACCUUUGUUCAAUGAAAAACCUGAAAAGAACCAUGGCAGCAUGAUGCGGAGGCUGGAGAGAUGCAGACCCCAAUUUGCCUCUCGUGUGGCCCUGAUGAAGCAAAGGAGGUCUUCCACCAUUUCGAUGGAAGGCUCUCUGGAGGUCAGCGGCAACUUUCAAAGCAGUUUCACGGCAGUCCUGAGACACAGCAGCAAUAACAUCAGCCUCAAUCAGGAUGUCUUGUAAGCCAGCAUCCCCAAAAUGUUUGCCAAUACAGGACAAGAAGGCCAUACAUGUGUGAAACUCUCCCAUUCUGACUUUCUGUAGGACUUGAAUCAAUCACUGGAAGGUAUCCGAUGUUGGUUGGUGGUGGAAUUGGACCUCUGUGAAUGAGUGUGUUAAAACCAGUCCAUCCAGGAAGGACUUCACCAUGGACUGCAGUCUUCAUGAGGAAAUAAGCACCAUCCAAUGUUUGUGCUGUUUUCAUGGCAUGGAUGUGGGUUUCUAAAUCUAGUUCCACUACUUUCCCAAAAUGUUUUCCAGGCCUGUUCUCUUUCCUCUGAUGUAUGUUUCAAGGUGAGCAGAGGGUGGAUCAAGUGACCUCUUUCUUGUUUUCUGUAAACACUGGUUUUCAGGGGUAGGUUCGUCACAUGAAAUCAUUUUUUGAAUGAUUAUACUAUUUGUAUUGUGUGUAGUCCCCUUACCUGAUAAUGUUUCCUCUCCAAAAUCGUUAUUGUCCCAAACAAGAGUUGCUUGCAUUUGUACAUGUAUGUUUUGGGGGAUGUAUGUGUCACCUCGUUGUAUUUGCAGAUGUGCCAAAGCUGUGUCAUGUUCAAGCACCUGUGAGUUGGAGGAACAGUGCCCAAGACCAUUCAAUAACCCUAUCAGCUGAGCUGAUCCUGUCAUGUGUCUAACAGCCAUGGCUAAGGCACAGUGUUUCGGCAUGAGCCAUCUCCCUUUCAUUUAGAGGGAUUGGUUGUCGUGGCUGUGCUCCAGGCGAUAAAAUUGAAGAGCUUAUUUGGGAUCAGAUUUGAGGCAGCUGACAUUGUAAAUUGCUGUGCUGUUGGUGGCCAUCUGAGUGUGGGGGUGCUCUUGUGUCAUCUUCAUCUGAUGAAGAGGAUGAUGAUGGUGGUGAAAAAGAAGCUGUGGCAACUUCAUCUUGGACCACUUCAUGUGGUGUCAAAUCCUCAACAUAGACAAAGUCAUGUCUUGAUAAUUUCUGAAACUUCAGAAAAGGACAGGACUUUUGUAGUCUCAUUUUUAAAGAUGAUGAUUUGUAAGAGGAGAUGUCAAUUCCUUCUUUUUCAUGGACACAUUUUUUGAAUAGAGCAUUCAACUCUGAAAGCUUGAAUACCUUCCGUUUCUUCAGUAACCUCUCCUCCACGACUGUUGUACAAAAAUGAUUGUAUCCAGUCUGAAACUGGUUGUUCCCGGUGCAGUCAGCUUCAUCUUUUUUGUACAGAAAUACUGUGUAAUUUCUGUAGCAUCUGAAAUGAUACAUUGCUUCUGAGGCAACAAGAUCUAUCCCACGUUUGUGUAGCAGCAGGUUUUCAUCCUUGCGUUCCUCAGCUGCAAGAAGCAGCUUACCAGCUGUCAAUGUUUCACAUUGUUGUAAAUUCUCUUUAACCCUCUUGCGGUUAUGUUUUUGUGUGAAAUAUUUUUCACGUUUGCAUAUUAUGCACUGCCUUGGAAAGAGAUGGGGUGUUCUCUUUAGGUGACCUGGAACCUGUGUUGUGGCUGAGCAAAGAACUCUAACCUCUGGUGGCAGAUGGUCAUUUGCACUUGUGUGUGCCUCAUCGUCUAAUUGUAAUGAGAAACAAAAUGGGUUGGGAAUUAAAUGUAUUGAAAACUAUGUGAUGACUAUGGUAUUAGUACUUUUACUGAACAAAAGGAUCUGAAUACUUCACCACUGUGUCAUAAAUGAAUAUUUGUGAUAUGAAAAUUGAAACUGAAUGUACUGUCCAAAGUCAAAACCACAAUGUUGUACAAAUCCUCAAUCUGCUGUAUUGCCCUUUCUUUCCUCUUGCGAGCUCUCUCAAUGUUUCUUCUGUUGGCAUAUUGCAUAUAGCAUUCUCGGUGGUAGCCAUCAUUAGCUGGCACACUUGGAGAGACAUUUUUCUUUAAAUCAUAUUUUUCUCCAGCUAUUGCUGCAACUUGGCUUUCUUUAGUAUCAAAACUGACCCACUCCAGAGAACUUCUUACAAAUGCUGCCCAACUUUCAGCUGAAAACUGUAUGAAAUUAGGAGUUGUGCUGCCUGCUACGUGCAUACAGCACUCCAUAUUUUCAAGGUUGCAUCCUUAGCUGAAGAUGUGCUAGCUAAGGUAAACAUGUGUUUGGGUUUAUGCAAAUGAGAUGACAUUUUAAAAAAAUCACACCAAGUGACGAAAAUGACUCAGACUCAUCACUUGUUGUAUAUUGUAGUUUAUUAGGUCAUUCAUUACACUCUAGAAGCUUAUAAACUAGUCAGUUUAGGGUAUAUUAUUAAGA